GGAGAGGUGGGAGAGUGGCUUAUUCCACCGGUUUGCUAAACCGACGUACCGUAGAUGCGGUACCGGGGGUUCGAAUCCCCCCCUCUCCG
rnacentral:tRNA from 1 species